rnacentral:rRNA from 1 species
GGANUUGCANUGGGGGAACCCUGAUGCAGCGACGCCGCGUGAGCGAUGAAGCCCUUCGGGGUGUAAAGCUCUUUCGGCAGGGAAGAUUAUGACGGUACCUGCAGAAGCAGCUGCGGCUAACUACGUGCCAGCAGCCGCGGUAAUACGUAGGCAGCAAGCGUUGUUCGGAGUUACUGGGCGUAAAGGGUGUGUAGGCGGCUUCCUAAGUUUGGUGUGAAAUCUCCCGGCUCAACCGGGAGGGUGCGCCGAAUACUGAGAGGCUAGAGUGCGGGAGAGGAAAGUGGAAUUCCUGGUGUAGCGGUGAAAUGCGUAGAUAUCAGGAGGAACACCGGUGGUGUAGACGGCUUUCUGGACCGUAACUGACGCUGAAACACGAAAGCGUGGGUAGCAAACAGGAUUAGAUACCCUGGUAGUCCACGCCCUAAACGAUGCAUAUUUGGUGUGGGUCAUUCAGUUGAUCCGUGCCGGAGCUAACGCGUUAAAUAUGCCGCCUGGGGAGUACAGUCGCAAGGCUGAAACUCAAAAAAAUUGACGGA